AUCAGUUUGUUCCCCGUUUCUUCUCUAGCCUGAGCCCGACACACUAUUCUAGCUAGACAUGGGUGUGGCUCGUAACACCUGAUGACCAAACGGAUCUACGGCACCAUCGAAUCUCAAACUUUAACUGCCAAAACUAUUGUUUUUCAUCCUGUAGUCCCUUUUAGAAUUACUAAAUGUCCUUUUUUGGGCCGAGAUUUCCAGGAACGCUUUCUCAGGGUUUGUGUGCAAGUAAUUCAAACCAUACGGACCUAAAAAUUAGAAGUCAUUCCAUCUUUAUUCCCCUAGAGCCUUCCAGCAGUUCCUAAACCGCUCAAGUCAGUGCACGUUAUCAUUCUUGUUAGUUCUAAGUGAAUUCCCUCGGUAUGAUAAUUUGUUCAUCAGUUUGUUCCCCGUUUCUUCUCUAGCCUGAGCCUGACACACUAUUCUAGCUAGACAUGGGUGUGGCUCGUAACACCUGAUGACCAAACGGAUCUACGACACCAUCGAAUCUCAAACUUUAACUACCAAAACUAUUGUUUUUCAUCCUCUAGUCCCUUUUAGAAUUACUAAACGUCCUUUUUUGGGCCGAGAUUUCCAGGAACGCUUUCUCGGGGUUUGUGUGCAUGUAUUUCAAACCAUACAGACCUAAAAAUUAGAAGUCAUUCCAUCUUUAUUCCCGUAGAGCCUUCCAGCAGUUCCUAAACCGCUCCAGUCGGAGCAUGUUAUCAUUCUUGUUUGUUCUGAGUGAAUUCCCUCGGUAUGAUAAUUCUAUCAUCAGUUUGUUCCCCGUUUCUUCUCUAGCCUGAGCCUGGCAAACUAUUCUAGCUAGACAUGGGUGUGGCUCGUAACACCUGAUGACCAAACGGAUCUACGACACCAUCGAAUCUCAAACUUUAACUACCAAAACUAUUGUUUUUCAUUCUAUAGUCCCUUCUAGAAUUUCUAAACGUCCUUUUUUGGGCCGAGAUUUCCAGGAAUGCUUUCUCGGGGUUUGUGUGCAAGUAUUUCAAAUCAUACGGACCUAAAAAUUAGAAGUCAUUCCAUCUUUAUUCCCCUAGAGCCUUCCAGUAGUUCCUAAACCGCUCCAGUCGGAGCACGUUAUCAUUCUUGUUAGUUCAUAGUGAAUUCCCUCGGUAUGAUAAUUCUUUCAUCAGUUUGUUCCCCGUUUCUUCUCUAGCCUGAGCCUGGCACAGUAUUCUAGCUAGACAUGGGUGUGGUCGUAACACCUGAUGACUAAAUGGAUCGACGGCACCAUCGAAUCUCAAACUUUAACUGCCAAAACUAUUGUUUUUCAUCCUGUAAUCCCAUUUAGAAUUACUAAACGUCCUUUUUUGGGCCGAGAUUUAGAGGAACGCUUUGUUGGGGUUUGUGUGCAAGUAUUUCAAACCAUACGGACCUAAAAAUUAGAACUCAUUCCAUAUUUAUUCCCCUUGAGCCUUCCAGCAGUUCCUAAACCGCUCUAGUCGGAGCACGUUAUCAUUCUUGUUAGUUCUAAGAGAAUUCCCUCGGUAUGAUAAUUCUUUUAUCAGUUUGUUCCCCGUUUCUUCUCUAGACUGGGCCCGACACACUAUUCUAGCUAGACAUGGGUGUGGCUCGUAACACCUGAUGACCAAACGGAUCUACGGCACCAUCGAAUCUCAAACUUCAACUGCCAAAACUAUUGUUUUUCAUCCUGUAGUCCCUUUUAGAAUUACUAAACGUCCUUUUUUGGGCCGAGAUUUCCAGGAACGCUUUCUCGGGGUUUGUGUGCAAGUAUUUCAAACCAUACGGACCUAAAAAUUAGAAGUCAUUCCAUCUUUAUUCCCGUAGAGCCAUCCAGCAGUUCCUAAACCGCUCCAGUCGGAGCACGUUAUCAUUCUUGUUAGUUCUGAGUGAAUUCCCUCGGUAUGAUAAUUCUUUCAUCAGUUUGUUCCCCGUUUCUUCUCUAGCCUGAGCCUGACAAACUAUUAUAGCUAGACAUGGGUGUGGCUCGUAACACCUGAUGACCAAACGGAUCUAUGGCACCAUCGAAUCUCAAACUUUAACUGCCAAAACUAUUGUUUUUCAUCCUGUAGUCCCUUUUAGAAUUACUAAACGCCCUUCUUUGGGACGAGAUUUCCAGGAACGCUUUCUCGGGGUUUGUGUGAAAGUAAUUCAAACCAUACGGACCUAAAAAUUAGAAGUCAUUCCAUCUUUAUUCCCGUGGAGCCUUCCAGUAGUUCCUAAACCGCUCCAGUCGGAGCACGUUAUCAUUCUUGUUAGUUCUGAGUGAAUUCCCUCGGUAUGAUAAUUCUUUCAUCAGUUUGUUCCCUGUUUCUUCUCUAGCCUGAGCCUGGCACACUAUUCUAGCUAGACAUGGGUGUGGCUCGUAACACCUGAUGACUAAACUGAUCAAUGACACCAUCGAAUCUCAAACUUUAACUGCCAAAACUAUUGUUUUUCAUCCUGUAGUCCCAUUUAGAAUUACUAAACGUCCUUUUUUGGGCCGAGAUUUCCAGGAACGCUUACUCGGGGUUUGUGUGCAAGUAUUUCAAACCAUACUGACCUAAAAAUUAGAAGUCAAUCCAUCUUUAUUCCCCUAG
rnacentral:lncRNA from 1 species